GCCUGGCUGGCUCAGUUGGUAGAGCAUGCAACUCUUGAUCUCAGGGUCGUGGGUUCAAGUCCCAUGUUGGCCA